rnacentral:misc_RNA from 1 species
CUUGCGGGGAGAGGUAAAGAAAAGCAAUCACCCCGCCAGCGCGGCCUUCACCAAUCCGCUGGCCUUGCCGAAAUCCAUCUGGCCGGCGUAUUUCGCCUUCAGCGCGGCGAUCACCUUGCCCAUGUCCUUCAUGCUGGAGGCGCCGGUCUCGGUGACGGUGGCGGCGAUGGCGGCCUUCACCUCGUCGUCCGACAUCUGCUUCGGCAGAUAGGCCGAGAUCACCGCGAUCUCCUCGCGCUCCUGCGCGGCGAGUUCCGGGCGGCCGCCCUUGUCAUACAGUUCGACCGAUUCCUGGCGCUGC